rnacentral:sRNA from 1 species
UGUGAAUUGCAGAAUUCAGUGAAUCAUCGAAUCUUUGAACGCACAUUGCGCCCCUUGGUAUUCCUUGGGGCAUGCCUGUUCGAGCGUCACUGCAAACCCACUCAUAAAUAUUAUGGUAUUGAUGGAAGUGAACUGAGUCAAACAAUGUACUUGGGUCACCCCAUUGAAAUGCAUAGGCAGGACAAUAAACCUCUGCAAUGAACUUAGUAACUGUCUGAAAGACACAAACCAGUUCCUUGUUGGGUGCAGACCUUGCUUCCAUGGACCUCUAUCCAAGACGAAUUCUGGGUUGACCUCGGAUCAGGUAGGGAUACCCGCUGAACUUAAGCAUAUCAAUAAGCGGAGGA